GGCGUAAAGCGCAUGCAGGUGGUCUGUCAAGUCGGAAGUGAAAUCUCGCUGCUCAACGGCGAGACGGCUUCUGAUACUGCGGAUCUGGAGACCUGUAGAGGGGGGUAGAAUUUC
rnacentral:rRNA from 1 species